UGGCGAUCUGCCUGCCUCUGCCUCCCGAGAUCUGGGAUUAAAGGUCUGCGCCACCACCGCCAGGUGCUGUAAGAUUAUUGAGUGAAAAUCUCAGUGCCAGAAAUGGACCUCCAUCUUAUGAGAUGUUGGUCAGAGAUGUCCUUGAGGCCCCCUACACAAGACUGGCUAUUACCACUGUCUUUGAGUGCAUGCCAGCACUGGACUUGGAGACCCUACUGCUGAAGAUACCACACACUUUAGUUGCAAGAUAUGGAGAAAUCAGACUGGAGUUGACCUCAGAGAUCCUUCCUUGAUCCUUGGCUGUUGUGGUGCCAGAAGGAACUCUGCAGACGGCUGCGAGGAAAACUGUCAUCCACGAUCUUGUUCGCUCCCACAAUCAAGUCAGAGGAAUGGUCAUAGAAAAAAAGUCUCAGCACAAGGAAGACAAAGAAAACUACUCUGGAGUGGCACACGGAGGAACAGACUCAUUUAGCUUGGGCCUGCUUGGAGGCGGCACAGAAGAGGAUCCCUUGAGCAAGGCCUUGAAGGAUGAGUAGGAGUUUGCCAGAUGAAUGUGGCAGCAGGAAGCAAUCCAGGCAAAUGGCACUGCUUAGAGAGAACCGAGACCUGUGAAGUAGCUGGGCAUAUUGUUUUG